GACGAACGCUGGCGGCGUGCUUAACACAUGCAAGUCGAACGGAAAGGCCCUGCUUGCAGGGUACUCGAGUGGCGAACGGGUGAGUAACACGCGGGUGAUCUGCCCUGCACUUCGGGAUAAGCCUGGGAAACUGGGUCUAAUACCGGAUAGGAGCCAUUUUUCGUGUGAUGGUUGGAAAGUUUUUUCGGUGUAGGAUGAGCUCGCGGCCUAUCAGCUUGUUGGUGGGGUAAUGGCCUACCAAGGCGGCGGAGGGUAGCCGGCCUGAGGGGGUGGACGGCCAAAUUGGGACUGAGAUACGGCCCAGACUCCUACGGGAGGCAGCAGGGGGGAAUAUUGCACAAUGGGCGCAAGCCUGAUGCAGCGACGCCGCGUGGGGGAUGACGGCCUUCGGGUUGUAAACUCCUUUCGCUAGGGACGAAGCUUUUUGUGACGGUACCUAGAUAAGAAGCACCGGCUAACUACGUG
rnacentral:rRNA from 1 species